rnacentral:lncRNA from 1 species
AAAAAAAAAAUAUUGCAAAUAAAUUAGAUUUCUUCGCCAAAAAGCAAUAAACCUACAAAUAAUAAUAAAAUAGCAACAAAAGUGAGGAUUUAGAUGGUAUAAUUGAGUCUUGAGAAUUCCAUUAAGAAAGGGAGUAAAGUACAUUUGAAAUUCGGGUAAGAAUAGCAUAAAUUCCAUGCACUAAGAGAGAAUCUGUCCAUGCACAACUUAAUUUUCCCUUUAUUUGUGUGCUUUUGCAGCUGGCACAAGUAAUCUUUUUUUUGCUUUCAUGACUUCACAUAUCUUUCUUUACCAUCUUAUACCAACAUCAAUCUUGCUUUUCUGGUUAAAAAGGAAGAAACCAUAAGAUUUUUUCAUAGUCAAAAGAGGGGUUGUAACAUUUCCUUUUAAAGGCUCGCAAAAAUGAGUCUUAAAUUUU